GCAUAUUUAGGUGAGAAGAGGAUAAGGUAAGGGCAGUAGGUUAUAUCAUGACAGCAUAACAUUCCCACAGCCUUCCCCUACAGCCCCUCGAAAGGUUAAUUUACGUUGCAUCAUUGUAGCUUUAUGCUCCUCCACAUUGUAGCAUAUUUAGGUGAGAAGACUUGUAGGUAAGGGAAGUAGAUUAUAUGACACAGCAUAACAUUCCCACACCCAUCCCCUACAGCCCCUCGAAAGGUUAAUUUACGUUGCAUCAUUGUAGCUUUAUGCUCCUCCACAUUGUAGCAUAUUUAGGUGAGAAGAGUCGUAGGUAAGGGAAGUAGAUUAUAUCAUGACAUAGCAUAACAUUCCCACAGCCUUCCCCUACAGCCCCUCGGAAGGCUAGUUUGCGUUGCUUUGUACCUUUAUACUUCACAUUGUAGCAUAUUUAGGUGAGAAGAGUUGUAGGUAAGAUAAGGGCAGUAUAUUAUUAUAUGGCAUAGCAUAACAUUCCCACACCCCUCCCGUGCAGCCCCUUGGAAGGUUAGUUUACUUUGCGUUGUAACUUUAUACUCGUCCACUGUGUAUCAUAUUUAGGUGAAAAGAGGGUAAGGUAAGGGCAGUAGAUUAUAUUAUGACAGCAUAACAUUCCCACAGCCUUCCCCUACAGCCCCU